rnacentral:lncRNA from 1 species
UUUUACAUUAUUAUGGUUUCAGAUGUUUGAACCGAGCAUUAAAGGGAAAAUACAACACAAGUACCUGCUUCAUCCGGUUGCUGGCCUGAUGAAGUAUCACCGGUGUGGAAAGAGAGAGAAAAGGGAUUCUAAAACACCUUUUCAGAAGGCUUCUCUCGUUUUGGAUCAAGUGUCUAUUGCUGUGUCUGAGGUUGGUUUCUCUAAAUGCUACACUUGGGUUAACUUUCAUUCUGUUUUAGGAUCAAUAUCGGGAUGGUAUUCAACUGUUGGAGGGUGUUUCACGGUACAGGAUACGAAUGGAGUUCUCUCUCUUCAGACCUAUGAUACCCGUGUUGGUAGAUGCUAAGGCAUGGUGGCGCUAUGCUGGUCGUGCAGUAACGCAGCAGCAGAGAAAGUCAAGGUUCGUUUUGAUAUUUAACCGAGUAUGCUAAAGCAAAUUUUUGCAGGUGUAACUUCUCUUGGGAAAAUCUGUCUCGAGCAUCAGGAUUACGAAAGAAAUAUGUGGAUCUUUAUGUUAGCGGGCUCCAGCAGGGCAAGUUUGACAAUUUUGAAAUAAGGCAAAUCGACCGGGAGCUAGACGUAGAAGUUAAUCUACUUUGGAGGUCGGUAGUUUGUGUAUGCUUUCUGUUAGUUGAUGGAGAAGUGGUGGCUGCAGAAUGCUUGCCCAUGCAAAAGUUGAGACGGCAAAGUUAAAAGAGGCAGCCGCGGCCCGGGAAAAGUCCAGGAAAAGCACCUGGUGGCCAUUUGGCGGGUAUUGUGGCAUAUGUUUUCAUUUGUUUUACAUUAAUCGCUUGCUAUGCAGGAGCGGCGCUGGUCCAAGGGCCUCAGUUGCCCAAGGCCCUGAAACGGAAGCGGCCCCAGCGCAACUUACAAAGGAAGAAUGGAAUAAGAUUAACGAGCUUCUAAGCUAUCAACCGGGGCAAGACUAUCCGCUGCUUUCUACUCAAGAGCCACAGAACAUGCUGCAAACAAUGCUCGACGUGACCAUAAAACAGAGCUUGGCGUGCAUAAAAGACAGCACCGAUUUGGUCAUAUUAUGUGGGACUUUCUCCAAUUUAAACGUUUCUCUCAAGCUGUUCCCGAAAACGUUCUUCUGCGACACUAAGUUGACGUACUAUGGCCUUUCAUCUCCAGAGGGGCCUCUCGUUUCGGUAAGCUGAAUGGAAUUUGCAUGUCUUAAGAUGAUAAUAUCUGUCUGGUUUGACAGAGCGUGAGUAGAGAGGGAAGAGCACAAGCGUUGGAUUUGACGUUUGUGUAUGUUCCUUUCGAAGAACAUUUGGAUUGGAAGCUGUCUGUCGCGAUGUCAUCAUGCUAUGUGACGGUAACGUUUUGUGUUGAAAGAGUUCAUCCCAGCUUACAUAAUGCGUGCAGGUUUGGAGAUCCAGUUUUGACAGGGUCAUGCACUUUAUGAAAUCUGGCCAAGCUAUGAGCCCGACAGUGGCUUUGGAAACUGCUGUCGCUUUGCAGGUAUGAGGCUCCGUAGCAAAAAUAUAUGUUACUCAUUUCACAGUGCAUGCAUGCCAGACAAAGCUAGAAGAGGUAACGAGGCGUGCUCAAGAACGGAUACUAUCUCAACUAGAGAAACAGAGAAGGUAUUCAAAAGUUUAUGCUACUCUUUUUGGCUUGACUUUUUCUUGCAUGCAGGUUCUCUAUAGAUAUUGAUCUUGACGCUCCAAAAGUCUUAAUUCCUGCACUCAAAGAUGAAGGAAUUGGAAAGAAAAGCCAAUUGUUGGUAGACUUGGGACAUUUUAAUCUUCGAACACUGGUACGUGCAUAAGAUGCAUCUAAAACUUACAACAUCCUUCUUCAGGGGAAUGACGACGUUGAGUUCCUGAAACGAAGUCGCUACACUAAACUUCAUGUAUCUGGACGGGAUAUAUCGGCUUUUCUUUGUUGAUGGUGAUUUCGAAUGGGCUCACUUUCCUGCGCUGGCCACAGAUGCUUGUGACAACGCAUAUUUAAUCUUUCCUGUACUUGACCGUUGUGGGAUGUCGAUUAUGCUACAUAUGGUGAUGCUAGUUACGACAUAGUUUGUGGCUAUUGACUUUAUGUUCCAGGCUCAAUAUGAAGAUUUGAAUUGGCCUUCAACAUGCGUUGCAAUUGAAGUUCCUCGCCUUGGUAUCCAUUUUUCUCCUACAAGAUACCUUAGGCUGCUCUAUCUUCUGCACGCUCUGGAGUCGGCUGACCGGUCCAGCUCCCAGCCGAACGCUUUAUCUUGGCAACCAUCAGAGGCAGCUGGAGAUGCACGAGUGCUUAAAUUGUUACUUUCCUCGCCCAUCAGCGUCUAAGCAUCACUCAUUCUGCAGGGAAUUGGUAAUAUUACUGCAGAAUGGCAGCCUUGUUGGAUUGCAUUGGCAGGGCCAUACCUGUACGUUCUAGAGGCAUAAGACUCAAAGAACAGCCCACAUCAAUGCAUAAGCUCUCCUCAAAGGACAGGAGGAAAGCCUCCUCUACCCUGGAAAUCCCAAGCUUUUUUGGAGAAUAUCACACUCUAGAGUCUCUACUGCAAUGAAAGGCCCAUGACAUAUUUGAAACUCUCGCUUAAGCAUCUUGCAUUGGAGAUUUCCCUUGUGGCCAGAGAUGAGUGCAGUGAUGUUGUGAGGUUUAUUUAUGAUGCACUUGCACUGGACACACUUCUUCCAGUAAAAUCUGAACCACAUGACGUACUCUAGUCUAGAUUCACAUGCUUCUUGUCGAAAAAUGAACAAGGUUAUGAGUAAGUGAUUUGCUAGUCAUUAUUGAUCAAAGUGAUUUUGAAAAAAUGCUUUGAAUGUGGAGUAGUUAACUAUGUUUGCCUCCAAAAGAGUUUUUUUCCAUGUUACUUGGCCAAUGAGUGAUUGCAAAAAGUUGUAAAGCUUGUAAUCAUCCUUGCCAAUGCUAUUUGAUGGACAAUAUUGUUCAAAGUGAGUGAUAUAUGUUUUGGCAAAGAUGUCACCAUUGCUAAAUAAGUAUGGCAAGUUAAUGCCUUGCUAUAAAAUAUGGAUGUGCAUGGGGAGAACCAUCAAUGGUAGACUCUUUCACUUAGUAUCUAUGGUAAACAAUGCUUCUUUCUUGCUAGAAAGAGCAUUUUGGUAAUCUAGCUUGCAUAGAAGGUGUGAAAACAUCCCUAUAUCCUAUGCAUUAUAUGAAAGAUUACUAGCUGCCAUCUCUGGCUUAAACAAGUUUGAACUAGCAUAAAGUGUCUAAUAUGUAGUAAAUGCAUUAAAGAAUUUUAAUUUGUGUGAGAAUAAAAUGUCCAAAAUGGGAUAGUUCCAAAUAAAUAAGCAAACUACUGUGGAUUUCCCCUAACCAAGAUUGUUGUCCUUUUGCAAAUCUCAAUUCCUCAUAAAGAAAAGAGAAAUUUAGCUAUAAAAUUGAAGAAAGAUAUGAAAGAUAUCAUGAAAGAAUAUAGAUAUAGGAUAUCACCUAAAAACAAUGGAAAAAAAAACAAAGAAAACAAGCUAUAACACUCAAAAUGUCUCAAAGUGAAUAUAAUUUGAUAGAAAUCUCUCAAACUCUGGCUACAAAAUUUGAUAUAGACUCAUUAAAAAAACUUAUAUUUAAAUAAAGAGAAUGAGAUUAAAAAGAUGGAGCUAAAACACCAAAAUGCCUAUAGAAAACUGAUUUAAACAUUAAAUUUAUAACUCAUAUAAUUAUGGGAUAAGAUUUGGAUAUAUUAUUAUUAUGAAUCUUUGGAACCUUGAGGAUCCAUUUAGACACUUUCCCCAUCUCAACACACACAUUUUGAGUCUUCAAGUGAUAAAUAUGUUAAAGGCUAUAUUAUCAAAUAAUUUCCCCUUUUUUAAUUGGUUGGUGAAAUUUUUUUUGCUACCUUGGAGUUAGAAAAUAUAUGGUGCUUGCUUCACUUAGAUUAGGAUCAACUUAUUGUAGUUAGUGAUGAAGCACAAGUGAAAGAUCAUGAGAGGGAGACAAGUGGGAGAUUAUUUCAAGUUUGAUGAUUUACAAAUGAAAAAAGUCUAUAUUAAUGGGAAUAAUAGUAUAUAGAUCCUUGAAUUAAAUUUAUUUUUAUUAAAUAAUUGCCUUUUCUCCAGUAGACUUAAAUAAAAUAUGUUACAUUUGGUUAGCAUGUGUUGAAAGGGGCACAAGGAAACAGAAGGGGCACAACAUUCAUACAUAGGAGAAAAAAUAUUUAAAAAAAGAGGGGCACAUAGGAGAAAUAUAAAGUGGAAAAAAAUAUUAAAAAAAAGAGAUAAAAAGAGAGGAAGAAGUUACCAAGAAGAGAGAAAAAAUAUUAAAAAAAGAGGAGGAAGACUUUUAAAGAGGAUAAAAAAUAUUAAAAACGAAGGAGAGAGGAAAAGGCCUAUGGCAGAGGAGACAAGAAAACAUAGUAGAGUGGGGAAAUAUAAUAUAGUUGAGAGCUUAAUACGUGCUAGCUAUGCCCACCGUUAGAUCUUGAUAUGUCUAAUCCAACAGAGGAGAGGACAGAGGAGAAAAAUUGUAUAAAUAAACUCCUAUGGCAAGCGAGACAAGAGUGGGAAAAUAUAAUAUAGUCGAGAGCUCAAUACGUGUUAGCUGCACCCGCCGUUAAAUCUCGUUAUGUUUAAUCCAACGGAGGAGAGGACAGAGGAGAAAAAUUGUAUAAAUAGACUUCGUUUGCAAGGAGGUGGAAACUGAUCAAAAUGCAGCGAUCCAAACUCCAGGCUCCAGUCGCCUCUGCGGCAUUACUGCUGGUGCUAGCACUGCUGCGGCGCUAUGCAUUUCGCCAGGGAUCACCAACAAUGUCAUCGGAGCUCUCAACUUCUUUCUAUGCCAGCACUUGUCCCGAUCUCCCUCAGAUCGUGAGAAGUGUGAUUCACUCUGAAUUUUCCAACGACAGUCGAUCUGCUGCGUCGAUCCUCAAGCUCCACUUCCGAGAUUGCUUCUCUCGAGUAAGUCAGAAAUUAAAAUAGCGUUACUCAUUUAUGGCUGCCAGGGCUGCGACGGAUCGCUGCUCCUCCAGCGAGGAGAUGGGCGCUCCGCCAAGGGACUCAAAAUCAUCAACAACGUCAAGCGCGCCGUGGAGACUUCAUGCCCGGCAACAGUAUCGUGCGCGGACAUUCUUGCGCUGAGCGCCCGGGAAUCCGUCAUAGCCGUGAGUGAGAAUCUCCAUCGCGGCUUGAGUUGAUCAUUCUCUUUCGACUUUGCAGCUGGGCGGCCCUUCAUGGACAGUAGAAUUUGGCCGACGGGACAGUCCUGCGACCGUCGCCGCCGCAAUGGAGGCCAUUCCCAGCCCAAACCUCACUGCAACGCAGCUCAUCGAGAGCUUCCAAAGGCGGGGUCUUUCCAAGCGUGAUCUCGUAGCGCUUUCAGGAGGCCACUCCAUCGGCCAGGCCCAGUGCUCUGCAUUUAGCGCACGCCUCUUCAAUGGAACCCCAGGAGAUAGCAUCGAUCGGGCCUUCAAAUCUCGACUCGAGAAGAAUUGCCCUCCAACAGCCCCAGACAGAUUGACCAAUUUGGAUCCAUCCCCCACCACCUUCGACAACUUGUACUUUCGAGCUCUCCUGGCCAAUCAGUCGCUCCUCUUUUCAGACCAGCAGCUCUUGCAGAGUGAUCUGGUGGGCUUUGUCAAGGAGUUUGCGGCCAAUCAGCAGACGUUCUUUACCGCGUUCGCCGCUGGCAUGAUCAAAAUGGGCAAGCUCUCGCCAAUCACAGGAGGGCAUGGUGAAAUUCGAUCCUCGUGCUAGUUUUUUUCCUAUACAUGUAAAUCUAUUCCUCACAUAAAAAUAUACACCACAGCCUUGACUAGAGAAAGGAAUGUUGGCAUAUCCCGUAGCUUGAUGAUGGUGGUGGAAAUUUUCUCGUCCUGCUAAAUCACUCUGGUGAGAGAUUCCAUUCUUCCCAAUCAAGAUCCCCCUUAAGCUCGGCCACUUGGCCAAUGAGCCAAGAUUUUCGCCGCGAGCCAGGGCACGUCAUCGCAGCCGCAUCGGCGAAAUUUCAAUUCCCACGGUUAGGAAUCUUCAACUCCCUGCGAAUAACGAAACCGAAGCUUUGACAAUGGCGAAGAAAGAGGCUGCACUCUUAAACCCUAACGUUAAUAUAUAUAAACCUUAGGUUUUAGACGUAUUGCCACGCAAUGGCGAAUAUUCACUGACAUAUACUUGCUUGCUGUGGAGAAAAUUUUGUGCUGCCUAGGGCUAGCUAGGCGCUGCGAUCGGCAGGAGUGAUGCGCUUGGGCGCUCGGUGUCGUCAUGUUUGAGGCUCAUGUGAGUGAUCGAUCGCUAGUUUGGGGAUUGGAGAGAUGGAUUGCAUUGGCGGACUGGAUUGAGCUCGCGAUUUUCUCCAUUUCUUGUUUCUGCAGGUCUUGUAUCUUCUUCGCAGAUACCUGGGCCAGUAUGUGCGGGGUCUCUCAGCGGAGGCGCUCCAGAUCAGUGUGUGGAAAGGUGAGAGCUAGAUUUUUUGCUCGCGAGGUGUUGAAAGUUUGGUGUUUUUUGGACAGGCGAUGUAGUGCUCAAGGACUUGCAGCUCAAGGCUGAAGCACUGAAUGCUCUGAGGCUUCCUCUCACUGUCAAAGCUGGAUUCCUUGGGUCUGUCACGUUGAAGGCAAGGCAUUGAUCAAGAAAAGUGUACCUUUGAUUCUUAUGCUUUCGUUUUUCUUAGAUUCCUUGGAACAAGCUUGGAAAAGAUCCGGUGAUUGUACUUCUCGACCGGGUUUUUGUUUUGGCGGAGCCUGUUGAAGAUGAACAGCUUUUCAAGGUAAGAUUUGGUUUUUAGCUUCAAGCGUUACGGAAACUUUCGUGAAAUGCGGUUGCAGAACGAGAACAUGGAAUCCUGGCUUGACGCUAAGCGGAGCCAGAUUGAGGUUAGUACAUACUUGCCUGUCAAGUUUAUUCUCAAACGCUUUUUGUGUCUUAAGGAGCUGGAGAUGGCAUUGCUUGAUGCGAAGGCAGGAAGAUCCGGUGAUGAUGCGGUAUGUGCCGCAAAAUGCUGUUUGAGGUUUCGUGUUAAAUUUUCUGUUUUUUGCAGUCGCCGGAAAGUAAGUCCUGGUUAGGCUCGCUCGUUGCGACGAUCAUUGGCAAUCUUAAAGUCUCCGUGACUAAUCUUCAUAUUCGUUACGAAGACACCCUCAGGUCGCGUUCAUCUCUAUCAAGCUAAAUGCUGGUACUGAUACUGGCUUCAUUUUUCAGCAACCCCUCCCAUCGAUUUUGUUUUGGCGUUACUUUAGCCAAACUUGCCGCUGUGACCAUCGACGAGAAUGAUGUAGAAACCUUCGUAACUAGCGGAGCUCUUGACAAGCUUCACAAGGUAUUUUGAUCAAUUUCGUAACGUGUACUUCAGUUUCUUUUUUCCUGCUUGCUGUGCAGUCGCUCCAGCUGGAUAGUUUUUCUAUCUACCAUGACUCGGAUACUGGGCCGUGGACUCUGGAGAAACGGUGGGAUGAGAUGACAUCCAAAGAAUGGAGCGAGGUUUGUGUUUUCUUCAAUGAAAACAGCAUUUAAAAUUAUUAUGGUUUCAGAUGUUUGAACCGAGUAUUAAAGGGAAAAUACAACACAAGUACCUGCUUCAUCCGGUUGCUGGCCUGAUGAAGUAUCACCGGUGUGGAAAGAGAGAGAAAAGGGAUUCUAAAACACCUUUUCAGAAGGCUUCUCUCGUUUUGGAUCAAGUGUCUAUUGCUGUGUCUGAGGUUGGUUUCUCUAAAUGCUACACUUGGGUUAACUUUCA